rnacentral:rRNA from 1 species
AACGAACGCUGGCGGCAUGCCUAACACAUGCAAGUCGAACGAGACCUUCGGGUCUAGUGGCGCACGGGUGCGUAACGCGUGGGAACCUGCCCUUAGGUUCGGAAUAACUCCCCGAAAGGGGUGCUAAUACCGGAUAAUGUCUUCGGACCAAAGAUUUAUCGCCUUUGGAUGGGCCCGCGUUGGAUUAGCUAGUUGGUAGGGUAAAAGCCUACCAAGGCGACGAUCCAUAGCUGGUCUGAGAGGAUGAUCAGCCACACUGGGACUGAGACACGGCCCAGACUCCGACGGGAGGCAGCAGGGGGGAAUAUUGGACAAUGGGCGAAAGCCUGAUCCAGCAAUGCCGCGUGAGUGAUGAAGGCCUUAGGGUUGUAAAGCUCUUUUACCCGGGAUGAUAAUGACAGUACCGGGAGAAUAAGCUCCGGCUAACUCCGU